UAUUUCUCUUAGUUUAUUCAUUUAACAAAAUGCUCCUUUCUGUGCCACAGAAGAGAGUGCCUAUAAGGCCUACACAGGUUCUUCAGUCUGCAAACCUCCCUUUGAGAACAUUUCUUUCAACUCACAUUGCUGGAGCUCCUAAAUAUCUUUCAAGUUUCAGAGUUCUUCAGCUCAAUGGAGCAAAACAGAGCAAUUCAUGGAGGAGACUGAUAAGAAGAACUUCAACUACAAGCUGUGAGCUCACCACAUGGGAGAGACUGAGAAUAAAGAUCCGUGUGCUGCUGACUGAUCGCUCAAUGUCUGCGAGUCACCAGCUGGCCCUUGCUGGGACAAAGCCAAGCAAAUUCAUAGUGGUGUCACUCAAGUUUCAAAAUCCAGCAUUACCAAUUGCCAUCAUUACAUACAGCCCCACAUGCCCAGAGCAAGACACUAAGGCUCAUAGCUGCAGCUUUGAGGAUGAAGAGCUUUUGUGUCAGUCUACACUAGAUAAUUGGACCCCUGUACAACUCAGAUCAAACCCUGACUUUUGGAAACUAAUACUGUUUUAACCAGGAGUCUUGGGGUUGAGGAGGCAUACAGGUAGGUGAUUACUAAGCACCAAAUCCGAAUAUGGUUUUAUUAUCCUAAUGAGACAAAGUAAUAAAGAAGAACAGAUGUCAGAUGUUGUCA
rnacentral:lncRNA from 1 species